UACGUAGGGUGCAAGCGUUAAUCGGAAUUACUGGGCGUAAAGCGUGCGCAGGCGGUUAUGCAAGACAGAUGUGAAAUCCCCGGGCUCAACCUGGGAACUGCAUUUGUGACUGCAUGGCUAGAGUACGGUAGAGGGGGAUGGAAUUCCGCGUGUAGCAGUGAAAUGCGUAGAGAUGUGGAGGAAUACCGAUGGCGAAGGCAGCCCCCUGGGAUAACACUGACGCUCAGGCACGAAAGCGUGGGGAGCAAACAGG
rnacentral:rRNA from 1 species